rnacentral:rRNA from 1 species
UGGCGAACGGGUGAGUAGCACGUGGGUGAUCUGCCCUGCACUCUGGGAUAAGCCUGGGAAACUGGGUCUAAUACCGGAUAGGACCAUGCUUUAGUGUGUGUGGUGGAAAGUUUUUUCGGUGUAGGAUGAGCCCGCGGCCUAUCAGCUUGUUGGUGGGGUAAUGGCCUACCAAGGCGGCGACGGGUAGCCGGACUGAGAGGUUGGUCGGCCACAUUGGGACUGAGAUACGGCCCAG